rnacentral:rRNA from 1 species
GGUAACCUGCCCAUCAGAAGGGGAUAACACUUGGAAACAGGUGCUAAUACCGUAUAACAAUCAAAACCGCAUGGUUUUGAUUUGAAAGGCGCUUUCGGGUGUCGCUGAUGGAUGGACCCGCGGUGCAUUAGCUAGUUGGUGAGGUAACGGCUCACCAAGGCCACGAUGCAUAGCCGACCUGAGAGGGUGAUCGGCCACAUUGGGACUGAGACACGGCCCAAACUCCUACGGGAGGCAGCAGUAGGGAAUCUUCGGCAAUGGACGAAAGUCUGACCGAGCAACGCCGCGUGAGUGAAGAAGGUUUUCGGAUCGUAAAACUCUGUUGUUAGAGAAGAACAAGGAUGAGAGUAACUGUUCAUCCCUUGACGGUAUCUAACCAGAAAGCCACGGCUAACUACGUGCCAGCAGCCGCGGUAAUACGUAGGUGGCAAGCGUUGUCCGGAUUUAUUGGGCGUAAAGCGAGCGCAGGCGGUUUCUUAAGUCUGAUGUGAAAGCCCCCGGCUCAACCGGGGAGGGUCAUUGGAAACUGGGAGACUUGAGUGCAGAAGAGGAGAGUGGAAUUCCAUGUGUAGCGGUGAAAUGCGUAGAUAUAUGGAGGAACACCAGUGGCGAAGGCGGCUCUCUGGUCUGUAACUGACGCUGAGGCUCGAAAGCGUGGGGAGCAAACAGGAUUAGAUACCCUGGUAGUCCACGCCGUAAA